AUGAACGCUAGCUACAGGCUUAACACAUGCAAGUCGAGGGGCAGCAUGGUCUUAGCUUGCUAAGGCCGAUGGCGACCGGCGCACGGGUGAGUAACACGUAUCCAACCUGCCGUCUACUCUUGGACAGCCUUCUGAAAGGAAGAUUAAUACAAGAUGGCAUCAUGAGUCCGCAUGUUCACAUGAUUAAAGGUAUUCCGGUAGACGAUGGGGAUGCGUUCCAUUAGAUAGUAGGCGGGGUAACGGCCCACCUAGUCUUCGAUGGAUAGGGGUUCUGAGAGGAAGGUCCCCCACAUUGGAACUGAGACACGGUCCAAACUCCUACGGGAGGCAGCAGUGAGGAAUAUUGGUCAAUGGGCGAGAGCCUGAACCAGCCAAGUAGCGUGAAGGAUGACUGCCCUAUGGGUUGUAAACUUCUUUUAUAAAGGAAUAAAGUCGGGUAUGGAUACCCGUUUGCAUGUACUUUAUGAAUAAGGAUCGGCUAACUCCGUGCCAGCAGCCGCGGUAAUACGGAGGAUCCGAGCGUUAUCCGGAUUUAUUGGGUUUAAAGGGAGCGUAGAUGGAUGUUUAAGUCAGUUGUGAAAGUUUGCGGCUCAACCGUAAAAUUGCAGUUGAUACUGGAUAUCUUGAGUGCAGUUGAGGCAGGCGGAAUUCGUGGUGUAGCGGUGAAAUGCUUAGAUAUCACGAAGAACUCCGAUUGCGAAGGCAGCCUGCUAAGCUGCAACUGACAUUGAGGCUCGAAAGUGUGGGUAUCAAACAGGAUUAGAUACCCUGGUAGUCCACACGGUAAACGAUGAAUACUCGCUGUUUGCGAUAUACAGCAAGCGGCCAAGCGAAAGCGUUAAGUAUUCUACCUGGGGAGUACGCCGGCAACGGUGAAACUCAAAGGAAUUGACGGGGGCCCGCACAAGCGGAGGAACAUGUGGUUUAAUUCGAUGAUACGCGAGGAACCUUACCCGGGCUUAAAUUGCAGAUGAAUUACGGUGAAAGCCGUAAGCCGCAAGGCAUCUGUGAAGGUGCUGCAUGGUUGUCGUCAGCUCGUGCCGUGAGGUGUCGGCUUAAGUGCCAUAACGAGCGCAACCCUUGUUGUCAGUUACUAACAGGUUCCGCUGAGGACUCUGACAAGACUGCCAUCGUAAGAUGUGAGGAAGGUGGGGAUGACGUCAAAUCAGCACGGCCCUUACGUCCGGGGCUACACACGUGUUACAAUGGGGGGUACGGAGGGCCGCUACCACGCGAGUGGAUGCCAAUCCCAAAAACCUCUCUCAGUUCGGACUGGAGUCUGCAACCCGACUCCACGAAGCUGGAUUCGCUAGUAAUCGCGCAUCAGCCACGGCGCGGUGAAUACGUUCCCGGGCCUUGUACACACCGCCCGUCAAGCCAUGGGAGCCGGGGGUACCUGAAGUGCGUAACCGCGAGGAGCGCCCUAGGGUAAAACUGGUGACUGGGGCU
rnacentral:rRNA from 1 species